rnacentral:lncRNA from 1 species
GAAAGCAACUGAGUGCAGUCAUAGAUAUAUAAAUACUCUAAAACCAUAAAGUCUACUAGAGUGUGUGCCAAGACCUGGUGUUACAAGUGUAUGAGCACUAGUAGAAUAUUCAAAACUCUAACUAUUGUCUGAAAUAACAUAGACAGAAAAUAAGUACAAAAGAAAGGCUCUAGGUGCUGCAGAACAGCUCAGGAAGUAGCUAACCACUAGGCCUCAGAGUAUCGGGGAUGUGCUCCGGUGUGACCGCGAGAUACACCUGCCUCAGAUCCUGCAUGGUUAGUUCAGAAGUGUAGCGUAAGUACAUAAACAACAUGUACCCAGUAAGUAUCAAGUCUAACCUCGAAGAAGUAGUGAUGAGGGAUCGACAUCGACACUUACUAUGGGCUAACAGUAAAGAAAUACAGAAUUCUAAAUAAGCAUGGGUUAUGUAAAUAAUAAUAAUAACUCAAUAACAAGUAGAAAGUAAAUAAUUAUUUCACGCAUGGUAAGUCCCAAAUAAAUUUCUGUCUUAUAUAAUUUUUAUCCUCUCAAUCCAGGGAAAGAUAUCAAAUAUAUAAUUACACUUCGAGUAUUAUCAUGCACGAUUAUGUCGAGGUCGUACGGCCCGAUCCAGAAUAAUGUGUAUAUUGCCGAGGGUCGAGCGACACGAACCAUAGAUGGAUCUAUCAUCUGCCGAGGUGUUCGGUCCGCUCCACAAGAAGAGAGCAAACUUUAUAAAUAACCGGUUUAAGAGCUAAUGCGAGGCUAAUGUACAACGAAACACAAUUUUUAUUAACGGUCAAGUAACCCGCCAAAACUCAAGGGAAAUUCAGUCUUUUACAAUUCCUCUAACAAGUUAUGAUAUAAUUUAGGCACUUUAAUUAACAAGUAGGGUGCAAAUAUUAUAAGUAUUUCAUGAUUGGGGUCCUAAACUACCCGGACAUAAGCAUAAUUAGUAGCUACGCAUGGACUCUCGUCACCUCGUGCAUACGUAGCCCCCACAAUUAGAAGCAAAUAGCAAUUUAAAUCACCUAUGGGCUAAAUUCCCUCUUACAAGGUCAGGCAAAAGACUUACCUUGUCUCAAAGCUCGCUUUUCGGCCUCAAAUUCACCCUAAAGCCUCAACUCGGUGCCGAACAAUCCGAAACUAGUCAAAGAUUGUAUAAAUUAAUUAAUAUACGCUCAAAAGUUAAUGAUUUACCUAUUAGAGUAAUUACCCAACCCAAAUUGGAAGAUUCUUAAAAUUCACCCCCAGACCCACGUGCCCGAAUUCCGGAAAUCUUUGAAGAAAUUUGUUACCCAUAACCUCACGAACUCAAAUAUAUGAUUUUCACUCAAUCCCAUAACCAUUUUCAUGGGUAAAUCUCAUUUUUAUCAAAAUCUAGGGUUAUUCAUCUAAACUCAUAAUUUUCACAAAUUUAUAUGUUAAAAUCCACCCAUAAUCUAUGUAUUUAACUUACAUUGGAUAGAAAAUGCUUAUCUCAAAUAGCAAGUGAAUGCAAUAAAUGAACCCAAAAUGUUUGAGCCACGACAUAAAUGAAGGUUCUGCCCAACAGGACUUUCGCAUUGUGGUGCCUAGGCCGCAUCUGCGGUACCGCUUCUACGGAACUUAGUCCGCUUCUGCAAAAUUCCUCAGGACCAGCACUGGCCGCUUCUACGGACAGGACUCCGCUUCUACGGACGGCAAAGCGCAUUUGCGGCCCUUUCGCACCUACGGGCGAUCCAUCGCAGAAGCAAGGCCGCUUCUACGCGUGCUUCUCCGCUUCUACGAACCACUGGCCAACCACCCCAAAAUCGCUUCUGUGGCCAAAAUCACACAUUUGCGGGCUCGCACCUGCGGCCAAAAGCUCGCAGGUGUGGGCACACUCGAACUGGUGCACCAGCAGCCCUUUUGUGUGCUAAUUCAAUAUAUGCAUCGUCCGGAUUGCACCCGAGGCCCCUGAGGCCUCGUCAAAAUAUACCAACAAGUUUGUAUAACAUAAAAUGGACUCUCUUGCAUCCUCGGAAUGCGUAAAAUAACAUUAAAACUAAGAAUCGCAACCCAAACCAAUAGGAUCAACUUAUGAACUUCAAAUUUUUCCAACUUACUUCGAACGCGCUGAUUCAUAUAUAAAUUAUUCGGAAUGGUACCAAAUUUUGCGUGCAAGUCUUAAAUCACCAUACAGAACUAUUCCCAGGCUCGGACUCAUAAACGGACUUUGAUUACACCAAAACCUUCUCCAAACCAAAUUCAAAGAACUUUUAAACCUUCAAUAAGCUAACUUCCAACAUUAAGCGCUGAAAUGCCCCGGGUCAUCAAACACCGAUAAAAACAUACGCCCAAGUCCAAAAUUAUCAUACAUACCUAUUUGAAUCGUCAAAUCCCAAUUUUGAGGUCGUUUACUCAAAAUGUUAAUCAAAGUCAAACUUGGCCUUUUAAAAACCAAACUAAGGAACCAAGUGUUCCGAUUUCAACUCAAACCCUUCCAAAUCCCGAACUAACAAUCCCCGUGAGUCAUAAAAUAGUAAAAGCACAUACGGAAAAUCUUAUUUAGAGGAACAAGGAUCUAAAGAAUAAAACGACCAGUCAGGUCGUUACAAGUACCGAGCGCGAGUGCCGAGAGUGAGUGUCAAGUAAUUGGGAGGACUGAGUGACUGUGUGGACUGAGUGACUGUGAGGACUGAGUGACUUUGUGGACUGAGUGACUGGGAAGACUGAGUGAAUUAAUACUUUGAAAGUAUGUAUAUGAUUUUCUCACUGUGUUGCAUCGCAUUUGAGAUGCACACUAGACAUACAGGCAUAGAGAUACAUUUCCUCAUAUUGUACGGUAUAGUGACACUCAUGACAUUCACAUGUGCAUUGACAUGUAGGCAUAAUGAUGUAAUUUCCUCAUGCCAGAUGAAAGUUUUUGGGAAAAAUCACAGUUUUCAAACUUACUCAUAUUUUUGGUAUAUUUCCGGUGAAAGAUUUGGGAUUUACUAUUAUACUUGAAAAGAAUGCCUAUUUUUCAUAACUGUGAAUGAGUUGAGCAUCAUAUCUCUGAGUUAUUUCUUAUACCAUUGUUAUUAUAUUGUUAUGAACUGUUGUUGAUUAUUGGAGUUGGACUCUGACCUCUUGUCCCAGAUUGUCACUACUUUUAACCUAAGGUUAGGUUUGUUACUUAUUGAGUACAUGAGGUCGGUUGUACUCAUACUAUACUUCUGCACAUUGCAUGCAGAUAUUAGAUGAUGAUGUUGUUGUGUAUGGCGGGAGCCGAAUUUGAAGAUGUACCUGCAUUCCGGUCAUAGCUACCUCUUGAUCUUGGUGGCUUUAGAAUUUUUAUCUGUUCGUGUAUAUUUCAAACAGAUGAUGUAUUUUAUUUCAUACCAACUUUGUAAAUUCUAAAUCUUAGAAGCUCGUGAUUUGUACUACCAGUUCUUGAAAAAUGUAUAAAGGUUCAGUUAUUUUAUCUUUUAUUUGUCCCAAUAAAUCUCAUUAAAUUGGAUAGUUGUUAAUUAGCUUACCUAACGGGUUGGGCUAGGUGCUAUCACGACUAGUUGAAUUUUGGGUCACGACAAGUACGUACCAAGAUUCUCUUUUCCAUUUAUCCAACCCUUUUAUAUUUAACAAGAAGAGAACCAUAGAAGAUCUAUUGUAUAGGAGGACCAGAAAGACAAAGAAGGAAGUCAAAUUCACAAAUUAACCACUUCGCUUACUUAGAGAAAUAUAAUACAUAAUAGCAUUACACUACCAGCAUAAAGGACAUAAAAUCCUUAGGUAGGGGCAUAAAAAAAAUCCUUUUGGAGAAUGGAAGAAGGGGUCUCUCAAUAACAACUCUACCAUAUAAAAGAUGAUCUAGCUAAACCUCAAAGUUUUAAUUUAUUGGAAAAACAAGAAUAGAAUUUGAACAGCCACCAGCUAAGGAGGAGGCAGUGUGCACAAGAGCUAAUAGCUAUUGAGACACCUGUAGAUUCCAAAUGUAACAGAAAAGGAAAAUAAAGAAUUCACUUUUUAUAUUCGUCAACUAUACUCAAACAAACAAAUAAACAAACCCAGUGAAGUCCCACGAUUGAGGUGUUGGGAGAGUAGUGUGUACGCAGUCCUUACCCCUACUUUAGGGAGGUAAAGAAUGUAGAGAGGUUAUUUCCAAAAGACCCCUAGCCUCAAGAAGAUGAUGAAAAAGAAAUGGUGUUGACAUGACAUUUUACAAAAUUUCAAUGCAUAUCCCUUUAAUUAUUUGUAGUAUUGAUCUUUUGGGAAUGUAGUUCCUCUAAGAGAAAAUUAAAAAAGUGGACAUCAAUACUUUCAACGUCGUAGCAGCCCAACCACAUCAAAGAAAAGCCAUAAAAUCAACAUCUCCGGAAAGGGAGUGUAGUCAAAAGCACGCAACACCACGGGCAGUAAAUAAGUGAAACAGUAGUAUAUUGAGUUCAUAUAUCCAUGUUAUGUAUCGCACAUUAUAAAUAAACUAAAAGAUAUAAAGCACUCCAUGGUUAACAAUCUUGUAACCAACAAUGCUUUAUAUCAGUGACGAGACAUUACAUGAAUCAAACUUCUAAGUUCCAAUGCUAAGUGAGACUAGGAAAUGAUGAGGAAUUAGCACUUUGUACUAUAAUUCAAUUCAUGACAAUAAGAGUGUACUACAUAUUCUCAAGCAUAACGGUAAUAGCAGCAUGUUGAAUUGAAGCUGAAUUGCUAAGGUCUAAAUAGGCAAAUGGUGGCAAAGAUACUUUGAGAAAUGGAGCAUCCAGUUGGCGCAAGAUAGAAAUAUGAAGGUUACAUUAGCUAGUUAGAGUACUAAUUAGGAGUUGUGUUUUCCUAGUGGUUAUUUUACCAUUCAUUCUAGUCUCUUUUCUUUAGAUUUUGCAUCCUUUAAUUAUAAUAUGAGGUUGUUUAUGGUGUGUAUUGCUAUAUUUUCAGGUAAAUGAUGCCACGAAGAUACUUGAAUUCAAGUGAAGUGGAAUUGAGCAAAAAAGAGUAACAAAAUGCAAAAUCCUUCAGUGAUUCCGCAUCUGCGGAACACUGUCCGCAUAUGCAACCUCGCAUCUGCGAGCUGGAAGGCCGCAUCUGCGGAGUUAAGCUUCACUGGGACCGCAUCUGCGGCAAAACUCCGCACCUGCGGAGUCGCUGGUGCGACUAUUUUGUCUGCAUCUGUGGAGAAAGGGAAUUCUACAUGGACUCGCACCUGCGAUGGCUUAUCCGCAUCUGCGGGGUCGCGCGUGUGCCACAAUGUCCGCAUCUGCAGAGUAGGCAAAAUUCCCUGAGUUCACGCAUUUGCGAUUGAAGGCCCGCAUUUGCGGAGCCGCACCUGCGAGGAUCUUUCCGCAUGUGCGGUCAACGGGUUUCUGACCUGGGCAGUAUUAACAUUUCAUAUUUUCUCAACUUUAAACCCACAAAUACACGACCUGAUCUUAUUUUGGAACAUCUUUUGGCUUAUUUUCAGUCCAUAUACUAGAGAGAACAAGUUUUGGAAGCUAGGGUUCUUGCACACACACUUGGAUCUUGAAGAUUUGAAACUUUUGGUUGAGAAUUUCUUACUCCUUUAUGCUCAUUUCUUCAUUCCCUUGCUUCGUAUUGUAUAUUUAAGUGUGUAGUAUUUAUUUCCAACACUUGAAUCUUGUUUAUGAAAAUAUUCAUAUUUAAGUGUGGAUUAAAUUCCUUGUUGUGCUUAUGUAUUGAACGAUUUUUAUUUAUUAUGAAGCGAGCUAUUGUUUCUUUAAUUAUUCUUGUUCUUAAAUGUUUCCAAAGGGAUUAGCUAACCCUAGGACUAGCCCAUUCAUUUCGGAUUAAUUUUGGAAAAAAUAAUUUGGNNNNNNNNNNNNNNNNNNNNNNNNNAUUAUUUUAGGGAUAAUUCAAUUAGGAAGUCUUGUUAGUCUUCGAGAGAAGCUAAUAUAGAAUUAUUAUCCUAGGCUAAUAAAUAAUAAACUCGUUCAUAUUUAUAAAAUUAUGAAAUAUAUUAGAUCAUUACUUGAGUGUAAAUCCCGAUGCACCCAUGCUUGUAGCCAUUGAUCAUUUUACUUGCUUUCUAGGUUAGUUUACGUUUUCGCAUUUAGCUAUAAUAUUUUCUCAACAACCACUCUAAGUGUUUGGCAUUGCAUAAUAAGUGAUAAUUCUCUUACAUUCCUAUUCGCCUAUAUAUUGUUCUCUGUAGGAUUCGACCCCGACUCAUAGUUGGGUAAAUUAUAUUACAUGUGACUGUGUCCAUUUAUUUUUUAGUAGUGAAUUUGGACGUUGUCAAGUAUUCGAUUAACACAUGCUGCAAGUUUCUCCUUGAAAAUACUAUGUUUUCCAAAAUAUUUAAGUAGGACAGAUUUCUAAUGCUAUUAAUCUAUUUUCAAAAAGCAAGAAAUAAGAUAUCUCCUUAUCAGACGUCUCUCAUAAAAUAAAAAUUCAAAUGAUACUUAGUCAUCAAAUGGACACUAUCCAUUAUAUCUAACAAAACACUAAAAAAUAAAUGACAAAAGGAAUCGAUGAUUUGUUUUCAAUCACAACGAACACAUCGAACUCGGUUUAGUAAGAUAUUGUCUUGAUUCCAGAAUUAAUUUAAAUGUUCUAUUUAUCUCAAUUAGGAAUGGAAUCCUAGACAUUAGCUUAAGUUUGCAGUUUUCAAUUUCAAUGUGCAAUGCAACAAAAAUAUAACUAUAAAAUCGGCUUUGUCUAAAACAACACAUAAAGGGCUUGAUCCAUAUCAAUGCCAACUGGACCGCGGUUAUUCUUUCAUACUGAUCUUUUACGCUACAAUUGAGAUUGAAAACAGAGAAAUACUACCAAAUAACUUAGCCAAUUCUCAUACCCCAUACCUCUUAUAAAACUUGCAUAGUUUAAAAUAAGAAAGAAGUUUCAUAAAAGAUUUCCAUUCGAGCAGACCAUCGUAUAUAAAAGGGAUGAGAGGCCAAGAUUGAAAAUCAACAAUGGAUCAGAUUGAAAUAAGCAAUUAACCAGCAGACCUCGCCGUAGAAUCAGACAAUAUAUAGAUAGAAAUAAUUUUUAUAUUUUGUGUCAUUCUUUCACCAAAGUGAACACCAACAUCCAUAUACAUACAAGUGUGAUCGCAACCCUAUAGUUAUACAGCAGCUAAAAAUUAUCAACUUUAAUUUUUAGGAGGAUCGAUAUUUCGACAGGUAGACAGGUACUCAGUGAAACUAAUAGUAAUUCAGAAUAAACUGUUAGAGAAAAUGAUUUAAUCGUGAUAGGAGAUAUAGCAGUUGCUCGCUCAAAACAGAUAUCGCUCAACAGAUGGGGAGUCAAAUCACAAUCUAUGCUCUGGCCUCUCUCAUCUCUGCUCCUAGCUCAGAUGCCUUCUCUAGCGAAAUUAUUAAUCAAUUCACAUAGAAAAAGGUAAAAUUUUGAACCUUACCUUGAUAAGAAGAAACUCAAAGAUGAGCAGGUUGUUGUCAAUGAAGUUGACGAGCAACUUCAUUCUCUCGCUGAAUUUUACGAGCAGUUUCCUUGAUGAGAAGAAACUCGAAGAUGAGCGGUUGUUGUCAAUGGAGGUGACGAGCAGCUUCAUUCUCUCGCUGAAUUUUAUGAGCAGUUUCACUAAUUAUUUUAAUUCGUCAUACAGUAGUUCUCUAAUUCGUUCAAAACAUAGAUUUUACGAACUGCUAGAGAAGUCUUAGGGUUUUUUUCCUUUUGGGUGGGGGAAUGGGAAU